rnacentral:rRNA from 1 species
CUACGGAGGGUGCAAGCGUUAAUCGGAAUUACUGGGCGUAAAGCGCGCGUAGGCGGUUUGGUAAGUCGGAUGUGAAAGCCCCGGGCUCAACCUGGGAAUUGCAUUCGAUACUGCCAGACUUGAGUAUGGUAGGGGGAAGUGGAAUUCCGGGUGUAGCGGUGAAAUGCGUAGAUAUCCGGAGGAACACCAGUGGCGAAGGCGACUUCCUGGACCAAUACUGACGCUGAGGUGCGAAAGCGUGGGGAGCAAACAGGAUUAGAAACCCUAGUAGUCC